rnacentral:tRNA from 1 species
UGGAACGUAGCUCAGUUGGUGGAGCAAUAUGACUAUAAAGGGUCUGAGAUGUAGGCAGGUUUGAGUCCUGUCGUUCCAA